UUUAGUGUAAGCGAAUGUUAAAACUUCAUCUAAAGAAUCUUAGUUCAUGAUAACUGCGCCAUUCUUAUGAAUUGGGAACACUUAUAGUGGAAUUUUAGAUGUCCUUGGCAGCCUGGUUAUUAUUUGGAUACAAUCUGAAAGCCUCUAAGAGUUAUGGUUUUAAUUUAUUUUAUGUGUUGGUUGGGUGCUUUAUUUUGUUACCUUGACCUCCCUUCUGCAUUGCUGCGAUUAUGUUUGCAGAUGAUAUUUAUCUUCCGAACCUUACGAUAUUGAAUCAUACGUAGCAAUUCUUUUAGUGCCUCUCUCCCUUUGUUGCUCUGUGUGUUUGGUCCCUUUUCUCACCUUUCAACAAGUAAUUCUUGUCCUAUUGUGCAUUAUUUUGAAAGAAGCUCAUUGUUUCAGCUCUUGGCGGAGUACCCCGCAUUAAAACGCUUCAAAUCGUGUUCAGCGCCUCAAAAUAGUCGGAGAUGCUCUGACCAUCAUAGUUGUAGCUGGUAUGUUAAUCCUCCUUCAGAACUUGAACUCAUUGCGCUCAACUGUUGUUCCAAGCCAACUUCUUUUCUCCUAACAAUUAUUGAUUUCGAAUUCUAUUAAAUAUGAGAUGAUCAGAAUGUUUGCAACAGAUAAAAUCUUAAAAGCUUUAUUUCUAAAAGUUCCAUGACAUGGAAUUUCAUGCACAGUUUACGAAUUUGGAUUACUUGCUGUUUGCUUCCGAUUAUUUUACAUUUGCUUUGAGGGGAAAAAUAGAAAACACAACUGCUCUUAAAAUUUAACGAAAUGUUGGAUUGAACUUGAUUGUCAACUUAGUAUUUGCAAUUUUAACGGUUGGAUCUCAGGGCUCUUAUGCAUUGUUUAGUAACCAGAUUGUUCGGGCGUUUCUUGCAAUUCUUGUGUUCUGAUUGUUCAAACACAAUUGUGCAUUAUGGCAAACUUGUUUUUACGUUUAGUUUUUGAUGUUUUUACUGCUAUGAGAUCUACGUAAAAGCAACAAUGCGAGAAGAAGCAUGUAAAACAGGCAAAUGAAUAAUGGUGUAAUAGCCUUUAAAAUGCACAUUGAGUGGCUUUCUCUAUUAGAAUUGCACCAGAUCCCUUCCAGUUCAGCAAUCCAGACUUCAGAUUCAACAUUCCAGAUUCAUUUCACAUGGAUCCUUCCAGCUGUAACAGAUUCUCCAGCUCCCAAGAUUCUCUUCCAACUGUCAUAGUAGUUAGUAGUUGAUAGUUAGUUUAGUUAGACAUUUUCUCUAUAAAUGCACAACCGGCUGUUCAUUGUAAUUCAUUGGAGUAUAGUCUUCCAAUCCCUCCUUUUAUGGAGGUUUCUCUCCUCCUUCAUUGAGUGCAUUUCCUCCUUUCAUGGAGCGCCUUUUCUUCUCCUAUUAUGGAGUUUGUUCUUCUCCGUUAUGGAGUUCAAUUGAAGUUUCUUCAUUCAAUAAAUUCUAACAUUCUCCAUCGGUUAAAAGAAAUUGAAAUGUAUAACAGAAUCAGGUAGUUUCAAUAUUUUAGUAUGACAGACUUGUUUUUUUACCCACUUUGGUGGUAAUGGUGAAGAUAAAGUUGUUUGAGAUGUACAAACGAUUUCUGAAAUGACAAAAAUCGAAUGGCAAUGGAAUGUUAUGAGCUCGUGGUGAUGCUAUGAUUACCAAAAAAGAACUGUGACCAUAAAGUAAUUUUAGCCCUUAUUUGAUGGAGAUUAAAAUCAAAUUUUAGUAAAUUUUGUAAAAUACUAAAAUUUGAUGAAAUGUGUAGUUGAAAAUUUGUAGAUUCUAUGAAAUAUAUGAUUAAACUUAAAUUAUUGAUUUUAAUUUUAAUUUAAAUUUUAGUAUUAAUUCUCAUCAAACGAGGACUAUAAUUUCAUAGUUAAAAAAUUCAAUUAUGAGCUCUCCCUCUCUCUCUCUCUCUCUCUCUCUCUCUCUCUCGCUCUCGCUCGCGAAGGAGGUAUCAAUCCUUAAAUCAUUGACCUCAAAUGUGAUUUGUUUAGCACAUCUAUUCUUAAAUCAUUGACCUCAAAUGCCCCAUCAAAUGAGGCAUGGUUUUUUAUUUUUUUAUUAUUUUUUUCCCUCUCCAAGAAUAAUGUUACCUGUCACUCAUGGUGCUAGAACACCAAUCUAAAUGUCACAUUUUAAGGCUCUGUUUGAGAGUGAUUUUUCACUCCAAAAAAUUAAUUUUUUGACCGUUAUUUCACCAUUUCAAUCAUAAUUUUUGACUUAUUUUCUCACAUGUGGCAUCCACUUUUUUUUUAACAGUCAAAAAAUCAAUUUUUAAAAUCAUUACUGGACGAGCCCUAAAUGUGAUUUAUUUUUUCUACUUUAAAAGGGGUCUAUCAAUUAAUGACACUUGUAUGGUAUUAAAAUUUAUGUGUUAAUGAUGCACUAAUUUGCAAGGACAUUUGCUGCUUUUCUUUGUUUAAUUGUGUUAUUAAAAAUAACUGACUUAUUAUAUACUGUAUGGGAGCAAUUUUGGAUAGAUUUUAACAAUCCCGCUAUUGAGACAAGGUAGAAUACUAGGGACGGCAAUGGUUAGGUUCAGUCAAAAUCAUCAUCGAACCGUCAAAUUUUUUGUCAUACCAUAACCGCACCAUGACCACGUAAAUCGGUUCGGUUCGACUCGAUUUCGAUUCGGUUAAUAACCACAAAAAUAAAUUAUUUUUUAUAAGUCCAUCCGCCAAAUUGAUAUAAAAUAAUUUAUGAAAAGAGAAUUAAUGAAAACAAAAACACAAUAUUCCAAACGAAAAUGCAAACAUUAUCUCAAAUUCCAAUUACAAAAUACAAAUUUAACAAAAAAUAUUAUGAAUAUAACAAUACUAAACUUUUCCUUCAUUCUUAAUUCUUGUGAUUUAUAGUUACUUGAUUAAUGCUCAAUAAUUCAAAAACGUCAACCUUAACUCAUACUCAAUCUUCAUUCUUUCCCACAACUCUGACUAACAUAGGUCAGUACUCAAAAUUGAUUUAUAUAUAGUAAAUAAAAAAUGUAAGUAGAGAAUACAACGAUCUACCUAAUCUAGAAUGGUUUUAACUAAGAUUUAAAUAAAAAAAUAUAUCUCUUCGUCAACUUCCUUCUUACUAAACUUUGUCAUCCCUAAUAAAAGAAUGAUUUUUUUAAGCGGGUAAUCGGUUCGGUUUCGGUUCGACAGCAUAAAUACCAUACCCGCACCGCCACAAACCGGUUCAUUAAAAUCAAAUACCAUAUCCGCCCCAUUGCACAAUCAGUACAGUUUUUUCGCUCCACUCGGUUCGGUUAAUCGCGAUUUUCGAUUUUAACGAUUCAAGUUUCCAUCUCUAUAGAAUACAGGCUCAAAGACAGGGCUAGCGUGGCAUUUGAAAAUAAAAUAUAUAUAAAAACCACAUUUUAAAGUGGAAAAAGCCAAACAUCAACUUUAUUCUAAAAAUUAUGCUGUCAAAUCAACUGUAUGAAAUAUUAAAUUUUCUGAUUUAAUAUAAAAAAAUAAGUUUAUAUCCACUCACAGAUCUAUAGAUAGAAAUCUGGCUAAAUUGACGAGUCUUUCUUACUUUUCAAGCUUACAUGUCACUACCUGAAAUAACGAUAUAAUUAAUCAAAUUAAAACCUGACAAUUAAAUUAAUACAAAUCCAUAACUUAACUUCUCAACUUCUAUAUGUAUUAUUCUUACAUCUCCAAUUUUCCAACUUUUCGUCUCUUUAAUGAUUUAUCAACUAAUCACAAUUCAUUAUCAAAUCCAUUAAAUCCCUCGCACUUCCUUAAAAUCACUACCUUAUUCAUAUGCAACCCUUACAACGAAUUUAGUCCAAUACAUAAACUUCAAUAUUUGUCAUGUAACUUAAUUCGAACCUUUAAAAAUCUGAAAACAAGAGCUUUGACGAAAAAAGAACUAAAAUCUGAUACCAAUUUCUAUAUUAAAAUUUGGUAUCAAAACCUUUGACAGAAAUAGCGUUAUUCUGGGCAGAUUUUCAGAAACAGCACCUGAGUAAGAUUUUGUCGAAAAAUAACUUAUAUUAAUUACUUAAAGAUGGAGAAAUCAACCCCAAAGCCUUAAUUUAAAUGCUCGACAUCAUAUAAUCACAAAAAGAUCACAGAAUUAAUAUCCAUUUCAUAAACCCAUUUACAAAGUUCCACUUUCUUCAACUUCAAAAUUCAAAAAACACGUUUCUUUGCUAUAUUUCUAAUUAUAACACCAAAUACAUAUUAAUAAUACCUAAUUCUAGCUAAGUUUUGAAUUGAAACAAAUUUUUCAUAAACCCUAAGAAAAUUUUAUUCAAUAUACUUGUUCUUACCUCUCUAAAUUAAAUGAGAAAUUGAAGAAAUAGAGCUUGGAAAUCCACUUCCUCUUCUUCUUUCCUCCUCUUCCUUCCUUUCUUCUCUUCUCUUCUCUCGGUCUUUCUCGACGUUUCGCC
rnacentral:lncRNA from 1 species